CCCCACAGCGCCAUUCCGCCCCACACCCCCCUCCCAUCCCCCCCCCGUUCUGCUCAGCGCUGUUGGCCGCCGCCCCACCGCCGCUCCGCUCCAACUCGGCCAAAGGUUCCUCCGCUCCCCCCCCGCCCCCGGGAGAGGCGGCUGUAGGGCCGUCUAUGGGGCGGCGGCGGGGUGCCGAUCCCAAAGCGGAACCUUAUGGGGGCGACGCCACCGCGCUGCGCUCCAUUUUAGGUCUGCGGUGGGGCUGAGGGGGAACGGCCCCAUAGAGCCGCUGUGUGGCCGUGUGGGGCUGUGGGGUCUGCGCGGGGCUAUGGGGCCCAUGUGGGGCUAUGGGAUCCCAGGGUCCACUCAGCGUUAUGGGGUCCCAUGUUCCAUGUGGGGCUGUGGGGUCUGUGUAGGGCUAUGGGGUCUGUGCAGGGCUAUGGGGUCUGUGUAGGGCUAUGGGAUCCCAGGGUCCACUCUGGGUUAUGGGAUCCCAUGUUCCGUGUGGGGCUAUGGGGUCUGUGUAGGGCUAUGGGGUUUGUGUAGGGCUAUGGGGCCCAUGUGGGGCUAUGGGGUCUGUGUAGGCUAUGGGGUCUGUGUAGGGCUAUGGGGUCUGUGCAGGGCUAUGGGAUCCCAGGGUCCACUCAGGGUUGUGGGAUCUCAUGUUCCAUGUGGGGCUGUGGGGUCUGUGUAGGCUAUGGGGUCUGUGUAGGCUAUGGGGUCUGUGUAGGGCUAUGGGGCCCAUGUGGGGCUAUGGGAUCCCAGGGUCCACUCAGGGUUAUGGGGUCCCAUGUUCCAUGUGGGGCUGUGGGGUCUGUGUAGGGCUAUGGGGUCUGUGUAGGCUAUGGGGUCUGUGUAGGGCUAUGGGGCCCAUGUGGGGCUAUGGGAUCCCAGGGUCCACUCAGGGUUAUGGGGUCCCAUGUUCCACGUGGGGCUGUGGGGUCUGUGUAGGGCUAUGGGGUCUGUGUAGGCUAUGGGGUCUGUGUAGGGUAUGGGGUCUGUGUAGGGCUAUGGGAUCCCAGGGUCCACUCAGGGUUAUGGGGUCCCAUGUUCCAUGUGGGGCUGUGGGGUCUGUGCAGGGCUAUGGGGCCCAUGUGGGGCUAUGGGAUCCGAGUGUCCGUGCAGGGUUAUGGGGUCCAUGUGGGGCUAUGGGGUCUGUGUAGGGCUGUGGGGUGCAUGUGUGGCUAUGGGGUCUGUGUAGGGCUAUGGGGUCCGUGUGUGGUUAUGGGAUCCCCGAGUCCAUGCAGGGUUAUGGAAACCCAUGUUCCAUAUGGGGCUGUGGGGUCUGUGCAGGGCUAUGGGGUCUGUUUGAGGUUAUGGGAUCCUGGGGUCCAUGUGGGGCUACGGGGUCUGUAUGGGGCUAUGGGGUCUGCAUGGGGCUAUGGGGUCUGUAUGGGGCUAUGGGGUCUGCAUGGAGCUAUGGGGUCCAUGUGGGUCUAUGGGGUCUGUAUGGGACUAUGGGGUCUGCAUGGAGCUAUGGGGUCCAUGCGGGUCUAUGGGGUCUGUAUGGGGCUAUGGGGUCUGCAUGGGACUAUGGGGUCUGUAUGAGGCUAUGGAGUCCAUGCGGGGCUAUGGGGUCUAUAUGGGACUAUGGGGUCUGCAUGGGGCUAUGGAGUCCAUGCGGGGCUAUGGGGUCUAUAUGGGACUAUGGGGUCUGCAUGGGGCUAUGGGGUCGCUGUGUGGUUCCCCCCCUCUCCCUCAUGGGGCCGACCAUACGGGGCUGCUGCUCACUGUGGGGUGCAGAGCUGCAGGGACCGCUUCAGCGCCGACCCGGUGGGACCCCCUUUGUUUCUUAUAGGGUCUCACAGAGCGCUCUGUUUGUUGUUGUGGGGUCUCCGCUCUGUUUGUUGUGGGGUCUCCGCUCUGUUAUGGGGUCUCCGCUCUGUUAUGGGGUCUCCGCUCUGUUGUGGGGUCUCCGCUCUGUUUGUUGUGGGGUCUCCGCUCUGUUAUGGGGUCUCCACUCUGUUAUGGGGUCUCCGCUCUGUUAUGGGGUCUCCGCUCUGUUAUGGGGUUUCCAGGGCGGCAGUGUUUACCGCUCACCCUUCCCCUGCUGGGCUCACUGCCCUCAGCGGCACGUGGGGAAACGGAGGCGCUGCCGGGGGGGGCACAGCGCUCCCCCCCCCCAAACCCCCCCCGGCUGUAGGGCCGCCAAGUGGGGGAUGGGUGAUGGCCGCGAUCCUAUGGGGCGGGCUCAGCGCGGCGCUUCCCUUUGCCCCACAUACCCAAAUGGGGCCCUGAGGGCAGCGCAGCGUCCACUGCCCCCCCCCGCCCCCCAACUGCUCCC
rnacentral:lncRNA from 1 species